AUGAGGCCUGGUCUGCAGCUUCCAGCUCUAGGCCUGGUCUCCAGCUUCCAGCUCUGGGAGGGACGUGGGGCUGAAAGGGGAUGGCAGAGCAUCCAUCUCUGGAAUCAAUUGGUUCAUGAAGCCACUGUGUUUGGAGGAGGCAGAGCCCCAUCUGUCCAGCUGGCUAAAGCCAGCUCUCUGAGGAGCGUGUGCACUUCCCUGCAGGAGUGGCCUGACUCGAGUGCUACAUGGAUAAAAGAGAAGUUACAGGAAGGAGAUGGAACAAGGAAUUUAGGCCUGGAUUCUGCUGUGCUCUCGCCAAAUGAGAUAGCCAGGGACUCAGUGAGAGGAGGUGCCAGAAAGGCGCCCUCCGAGCAGGUACAAUCCACAACCCACCUCCCCUGCAUCCCAGUUUUGCUCCAGAGGAGAAGUUCACCAGAUGGAUUGGCCAGAUGGGUCCUGGAUCCAUUGGGAAGAUGCCUGGGAAAAUCUGAAUUUUCUUGGGGGACUUCUUUGCUUCUAGUUCUCCACCACCAGGCUGGGAGAGGGUCCUGAUACCAAAAGUUCGUUUCAGAAUCUGCCUUUCAGCCCUUCCCCUGGUCAAAGGUCCCUGUGCUGUGGGAAAUGCUAUGAAACAACAGCCACAGAAUCAACACCGGUGACUGGUAUGGCUCAGAUGACCAGUGCUAUUCAGAGGAUGGUGAGGGGUCACCAGGGAAGAAGCCAUGGAGGAGCUGAAGCUUGAGCAGGCCCCUGAUGGAAGGGGCUGGGGAAGAUGUCACUGCAGGGCAUGAGCUGGGCAAGGUGAAGAAAUCAGCUGACUGGAGUCUUCAGAAAUGGGGUGGAAUAG
rnacentral:lncRNA from 1 species